rnacentral:tRNA from 1 species
AAGGAGCUAUACCUAGGACUGCUAGCCCUAACAGCCGAAACUAAAACUUCGGGCCCCUUG